GCAAAUGGUGUGCUGCAUGAGGAGAUGUAGGAGGGGUAUCCAUGGCAAGUCUUCAUAAAUAAUCAUGAUCAUCAUGAGAUUAUGAGACCCAUAAUCUCCUAGAUCGCCUGUUUGAUCUUGUUUAUAUGGGGGCAGUGAUUAUCUCCUAUUAUAGUGUCUAUUUUUUUGGCAUUGUUUAUUUAUUUUAUUUUUGUCAUUGAACAAUU
rnacentral:misc_RNA from 1 species